rnacentral:rRNA from 1 species
GAUGAACGCUGGCGGCGUGCUUAACACAUGCAAGUCGAACGAAGCACUUUAUUUGAUUUCCUUCGGGACUGAUUAUUUUGUGACUGAGUGGCGGACGGGUGAGUAACGCGUGGGUAACCUGCCUCGUACAGGGGGAUAACAGUUGGAAACGGCUGCUAAUACCGCAUAAGCGCACGGCAUCGCAUGAUGCAGUGUGAAAAACUCCGGUGGUAUAAGAUGGACCCGCGUUGGAUUAGCUAGUUGGUGAGGUAACGGCCCACCAAGGCGACGAUCCAUAGCCGACCUGAGAGGGUGACCGGCCACAUUGGGACUGAGACACGGCCCAAACUCCUACGGGAGGCAGCAGUGGGGAAUAUUGCACAAUGGGCGAAAGCCUGAUGCAGCGACGCCGCGUGAGCGAAGAAGUAUUUCGGUAUGUAAAGCUCUAUCAGCAGGGAAGAUAAUGACGGUACCUGACGAAGAAGCACCGGCUAAAUACGUG